CCUACGGGGAGCUGCAGUGGGGAAUAUUGGACAAUGGGCGAAAGCCUGAUCCAGCCAUGCCGCGUGUGUGAAGAAGGCCUUCGGGUUGUAAAGCACUUUCAGUGGGGAAGAAAGCCUUGGGGCUAAUACCCUCGAGGAAGGACAUCACCCACAGAAGAAGCACCGGCUAACUCCGUGCCAGCAGCCGCGGUAAUACGGAGGGUGCGAGCGUUAAUCGGAAUUACUGGGCGUAAAGCGCGCGUAGGCGGUCUGAUAAGCCGGUUGUGAAAGCCCCGGGCUCAACCUGGGAACGGCAUCCGGAACUGUCAGGCUAGAGUGCAGGAGAGGAAGGUAGAAUUCCCGGUGUAGCGGUGAAAUGCGUAGAGAUCGGGAGGAAUACCAGUGGCGAAGGUGGCCUUCUGGACUGACACUGACGCUGAGGUGCGAAAGCGUGGGUAGCAAACAGGAUUAGAUACCCGGGUAGUC
rnacentral:rRNA from 1 species